rnacentral:rRNA from 1 species
UACGUAGGGGGCAAGCGUUGUCCGGAAUCAUUGGGCGUAAAGGGCGCGUAGGCGGUCACGCACGUCCGUUGUGAAAUCGCUCGGCUCAACUGGGCGGGGUCAGCGGAUACGGUGUGGCUGGAGCAAGCUAGGGGGCAAUGGAAUUCCCGGUGUAGUGGUGGAAUGCGUAGAUAUCGGGAGGAACACCAGUGGCGAAGGCGGUUGCCUGGAGCUUUGCUGACGCUGAUGCGCGAAAGCGUGGGGAGCGAGUCCGG